AUCCAUCUGACAAGUCCUAAAUAGGACGAAACGCGCGUCCUGGAU
rnacentral:hammerhead_ribozyme from 1 species